rnacentral:tRNA from 1 species
CUGGUCGUAGCUCAGUCGGUAGAGCGCCUGGUUUGGGACCAGGAGGCCGCGAGUUCGAGACUCGCCGACCAGACCA